rnacentral:tRNA from 1 species
GUUGUCGUGGCCGAGUGGUUGAGACGAUGGACUAGAAAUCCACUGGGAUCUUCCCGCGCAGGUUCGAAUCCUGCCGACAACG